rnacentral:rRNA from 1 species
GACGAACCGUCCAAACGUUAUUCGGUAUCACUGGGCUUAAAGGGUGCGUAGGCUGUCCGGUAAGUUGGGUGUGAAAGCCCUCGGCUCAACCGAGGAAUUGCGCCCAAAACUGUCGGGCUAGGGGGAGACAGAGGUGAGCGGAACUUAGGGUGGAGCGGUGAAAUGCGUUGAGAUCCUAAGGAACACCAGUAGCGAAAGCGGCUCACUGGGUCUUGCCUGACGCUGAGUGCACGAAAGCUAGGGGAGCAAACGGG